rnacentral:rRNA from 1 species
AGCAUGUGGUUUAAUUCGAUGCAACGCGAAGAACCUUACCUGGGCUUGACAUCCCGGGAAUCCCUUGGAAACAAGGGAGUGCCCUUCGGGGAACCUGGAGACAGGUGCUGCAUGGCUGUCGUCAGCUCGUGUCGUGAGAUGUAGGGCUAAGUCCCGCAACGAGCGCAACCCUUAUCAUUAGUUGCUAACAGUAAGAUGAGCACUCUAAUGAGACCGCCGGUGACAAACCGGAUGAAGGUGGGGAUGACGUCAAAUCAUCAUGCCCCUUAUGACCUGGGCUACACGCGUGCUACAAUGGCCGGUACAAAGAGUCGCAAAACCGCGAGGUGGAGCUAAUCUCACAAAACCGGUCUCAGUUCAGAUUGUAGUCUGCAACUCGACUACAUGAAGGUGGAAUCGCUAGUAAUCGCAAAUCAGCAUGUUGCGGCGAAUACGUUCUCGAGUCUU